UUUCAUUUGGGAGCAACUAUACUCAAAUUGGAAUAAGACAAAGAAGAUUGACAUGGUCCCUCUACAAGGCUGGCUCACAGAUUCGUGAAGCAUGCCAUAUUUUU